AACGAACGCUGGCGGCAUGCCUAACACAUGCAAGUCGAACGAAGGCUUCGGCCUUAGUGGCGCACGAGUGAGUAACGCGUGGGAAACUGCCUAGUGGUGGGAAUAACGACGGGAAACUGUCGCUAAUACCGCAUAAGCCCUUCGGGGGAAAGAUUUAUCGCCGAUAGAUGUGCCCGCGUCCGAUUAGCUAGUUGGUGAGGUAAUGGCUCACCAAGGCGACGAUCGGUAGCUGGUCUGAGGGGAUGAUCAGCCACACUGGGACUGAGACACGGCCCAGACUCCUACGGGAGGCAGCAGUGGGGAAUAUUGGACAAUGGGCGAAAGCCUGAUCCAGCAAUGCCGCGUGAGUGAUGAAGGCCUUAGGGUUGUAAAGCUCUUUCGGGUGGGACGAUGAUGACGGUACCACCAGAAGAAGCCCCGGCUAACUUCGUGCCAGCCGCCGCGGUAA
rnacentral:rRNA from 1 species